rnacentral:rRNA from 1 species
ACGGGGCGCAGCAGGCGCGAAACCUCCACAAUUCACGAAAGUGGGAUGGGGUUACCUCGAGUGCCGCCUGAUGAAGGCGGCUUUUCCAUUGUUUAAUGAGCCGUGGGAAUAAGAGGGGGGCAAGACUGGUGUCAGCCGCCGCGGUAACACCAGCCCCUCGAGUGGUAGGGAUGAUUAUUUGGCCUAAAGCGUCCGUAGCCGGCUCUGUAAAUCUCUCGUUAAAUCCAGCGUCCUAAGCGUUGGGCUGCGAGGGGAACUGCAGAGCUAGAGGGUGGGAGAGGUCAGCGGUAUUCCUGGGGUAGGGGCGAAAUCCAUUGAUCCCAGGAGGACCACCAGUGGCGAAGGCUGCUGACUUGAACACGCCUGACGGUGAGGGACGAAAGCUGGGGUAGCGAAUCGGAUUAGAUACCCGAGUAGUCCCAGCCGUAAACGAUGCAGGCUAGGUGUUGGGUCGGCCAUGUGCUGGCUCAGUGCCACAGGGAAGCCAUUAAGCCUGCCGCCUGGGAGUACGCCGCAAGGC